rnacentral:rRNA from 1 species
CAGCCGCCGCGGUAAUACGGAGGGGGCUAGCGUUGUUCGGAAUUACUGGGCGUAAAGGGCGCGUAGGCGGCGCGAUAAGUUGGGCGUGAAAGGCCCGGGCUCAACCCGGGGACUGCGCUUGAUACUGUCGCGCUGUGAGUCCGGGAGAGGAUGGCGGAAUUCCCAGUGUAGAGGUGAAAUUCGUAGAUAUGGGGAGGAACACCGGUGGCGAAGGCGGCCAUCUGGACGGAUACUGACGCUGAGACGCGAAAGCGUGGGGAGCAAACAGGAUUAGAUACCCUGGUAGUCCACGCCGUAAACGAUGAGAACUAGGUGUCGUGGGUGUUGACCCCCGCGGUGCCGUAGCCAACGCAUUAAGUUCUCCGCCUGGGAAGUACGGCCGCAAGGCUAAAACUCAAAUGAAUUGAC